GGAAGCUGAAGUCCAGAGGCUCUAUUCAGUCAAGGGGUGAUGAACUCUCUUUGGGUCUGGAGACAGGCUGGAACUGGGAUGAGAUAUGGAGACCCUGCCAUUUACGACAACGUGGAUGUAUCUGCAGGACAUUAAGACAAGUGCAAUAAGCAAGACACGGAAAGAAAAUAUAGCAUGGUCUCUCUUAUAUGUGGAAUUUUAAAAAUUAACUCUGAAUACUUUGGAUUAAACUGCUCUGAAAAAUCAAAUCUGUCCAUGGCAGUGCUAGCAUACUGUCUAUUAGAUUAAAUGAAGCUGUAAGCAUCUUUGAAGUACAAAUGAUACUUGGAAAGUAAAUGAAACUGGGAAUACUUGCAAGUAAAAUAUGGGAAGUCAAAGAGAUUAAAGGAUGAGAACCAGAAAUUGCUUAUGGCCAGUGUCCUGAGUAAGCCUCAGAAUCGCAUCCUAGAAGCAUCAAGUUCUUGUGUUACCCUAUGGAUCUAAAAAACGACUUCCUUAGUUUGAUGUAGUCUGCAGACAUCUCAUCAUCACAAAAACUUGAAAGCACUUACAGCACUAAGAAACUACCUUUGCAGAUUGUAAAAAAAGAUAGAAUCCUACUUAGUGUUUUGAUCACACCUGCCUAUUUCCCCAAGGUUUUACUGCAGGGUUAAAGAAUGAAUAAGCAUCUAGUUAUAUUUAAUAAACUCCAUGCCUUAUGGCUGAUUCUAAAGGCA
rnacentral:lncRNA from 1 species